rnacentral:rRNA from 1 species
GACGAACCGUCCAAACGUUAUUCGGAAUCACUGGGCUUAAAGGGCGCGUAGGCGGCCGAGCGGGUCGUGGGUGAAAUCCCCCAGCUUAACUGGGGAACUGCUUACGAUACCACUGCGGCUCGAGGAAGGAAGGGGCAAUUGGAACUGUCGGUGGAGCGGUGAAAUGCGUUGAUAUCGACAGGAACGCCUGUGGCGAAAGCGAAUUGCUGGUCCUUUUCUGACGCUGAGGCGCGAAAGCCAGGGGAGCAAACGGG